CUGAAAGCCCAGGAGCACUGCUGAGUUAUAGGAAUUCAGGAUGGCUAAGUGAGGCCUCCGGUGUUUUCUCCCCUUUCCUCUCUCUCCUCUCAGGCUGGGAAGAAAAGGUCCUAAUACCUCUUGUCACCUGUAAACAGUUAUCUUCAUCAGUAGCAGCACCAGCAACUCCUACUAUAGAUGCAUAAAGAAACUCUAAAAGGAUUAAAAGAAAUUAAUAAAAGGAAUUACCAGUUGGAGUGGUGAUAAGAACUAGGGUCAGUUGGAGACUUUCCCCCUAUGUUGAAUUCAGCGCCUUCCCUAGAGCAAUAACUUUGUCAGGGCUGUGCUGUGCAUGCCAGACAUGAGCUUGGGGAAAGGAGCCAACAGAGUGCUGGUCCCAAAGGCCCUGCAACUUGUUUUCUUGACCAGUGCCUGAUGUCAACCAGCCUCGUGGUCAUUUGCUGCCUCCUCAGAAGGUAGAGUGAGGCACGCACAGCUGCCCGACCCCUGGGUGGGAUAAUGUGCCUGCCUCUCUAGUGAACUAAUCAACAAAGCAAAGGCAGAAGCAGUUUUUUCCCCCCUGAGUGAUUUUUUUUGCCUCCAGAAAGUUAUUAUCUACCUGGGUGUACUCAGUGACUCAUGACUUGUCAGCACCAUUCAAAACAUUAUUAUUUCUGUCCACAUGACACAGUGCAUGUGCUCUUACAGUUCAUAUUUUCAUUGCACGCACACCUAAUACUACACAGUCAGUGGCCAGUCCCUAUGUGUGUACCCACACUAGAGGUGUGCAAGUUGGGAAAGCAUGCCUGGAAUUACAUAUUUCUGUAAUAGGCAACACAGUGUUCUCUGGGGUCAUUAGAAGAUCUCAAAUGAAAGCAAAUUAUUGCUUUGCUCAAAACACAACAUGGAAUUACAAAGCAGCUGAAAGAAACCUUUAGAACUUACUAUCGAGGUCUCCAGGUAAUUAACUUGGGUGGAAAAUUAAGUAGGUAUGCCAAUUCCCACCCCCCAGAUUGGUAAAGUUUUCAAGCCUGGAGGAUUAGGUGUGUCCCAGCCCAUUUUCCUCUUUUUGUCUGGAUUAAAUUUUCUUCCUAAAUAUUUUAUGUUGUCCUCUGUGUUCUGCAAGCCCAGUUGUCUGCUUUCUCUCUGUGUUAAUUUGUGCAGUUAACCAGUUUGCAAGGUCUUCUUUUUCAAGUACCUCAAUGUCAAGCUGCUUCUAUUAUU